UACGGAGGGUGCGAGCGUUGUCCGGAAUCAUUGGGCGUAAAGGGCGCGUAGGUGGCUCGACAAGCGUGCGGUGAAAGCUCGGGGCUCAACCCCGAGUCGGCCGUGCGAACUGUUGUGCUUGAGCACUGUAGAGGCAGGCGGAAUUCCGGGUGUAGCGGUGGAAUGCGUAGAGAUCCGGAAGAACACCGGUGGCGAAGGCGGCCUGCUGGGCAGUAGCUGACACUGAGGCGCGACAGCGUGGGGAGCAAACAGG
rnacentral:rRNA from 1 species